UAUUUUAAUAUUUUAAAAAAUAAGUUUCCUAAACUUUUGAUACAGGUUCGAUUCCUGU
rnacentral:tRNA from 1 species